UGGGGAAUUUUGGACAAUGGGGGCAACCCUGAUCCAGCCAUGCCGCGUGUGUGAAGAAGGCCUUCGGGUUGUAAAGCACUUUCGGACGGAACGAAAUCGCGCGGGUGAACAAUCCGCGUGGAUGACGGUACCGUAGGAAGAAGCACCGGCUAACUACGUGCCAGCAGCCGCGGUAAUACGUAGGGUGCGAGCGUUAAUCGGAAUUACUGGGCGUAAAGCGUGCGCAGGCGGCGCCGCAAGUCAGGCGUGAAAUCCCCGAGCUUAACUUGGGAAUGGCGCUUGAAACUACGGUGCUGGAGUGUGGCAGAGGGAGGUGGAAUUCCACGUGUAGCGGUGAAAUGCGUAGAGAUGUGGAGGAACACCGAUGGCGAAGGCAGCCUCCUGGGCCAACACUGACGCUCAUGCACGAAAGCGUGGGGAGCAAACAGGAUUAGAUACCCUGGUAGUCCACGCCCUAAACGAUGAUGACUAGUUGUUGGGGGAGUUAAAUCCCUUAGUAACGCAGCUAACGCGUGAAGUCAUCCGCCUGGGGAGUACGGUCGCAAGAUUAA
rnacentral:rRNA from 1 species